rnacentral:rRNA from 1 species
UACGAAGGGGGCUAGCGUUGCUCGGAAUCACUGGGCGUAAAGGGUGCGUAGGCGGGUCUUUAAGUCAGGGGGGAAAUCCUGGAGCUCAACUCCAGAACUGCCUUUGAUACUGAAGAUCUUGAGUUCGGGAGAGGUGAGUGGAACUGCGAGUGUAGAGGUGAAAUUCGUAGAUAUUCGCAAGAACACCAGUGGCGAAGGCGACACACUGGCCCAUUACUGACGCUGAGGCUCGAAAGCGUGGGGAGCAAACAGG